GAUGAACGCUAGCUACAGGCUUAACACAUGCAAGUCGAGGGGUAACGAGAGGAAAGCUUGCUUUCCUUGUCGACGACCGGCGCACGGGUGAGUAACGCGUAUCCAACCUGCCCCCAACUAGGGAAUAACCUUGCGAAAGUAAGACUAAUACCCUAUAAUUUCCUCAGAUGACAUCUGACGAGGAAUAAAGAUUUAUCGGUUGUGGAUGGGGAUGCGUCUGAUUAGCUUGUUGGCGGGGUAACGGCCCACCAAGGCAACGAUCAGUAGGGGUUCUGAGAGGAAGGUCCCCCACAUUGGAACUGAGACCCGGUCCACACUCCUACGGGGGGCAGCAGUGAGGAAUAUUGGUCAAUGGGCGGAAGCCUGAACCAGCCAAGUAGCGUGCAGGAUGACGGCCCUAUGGGUUGUAAACUGCUUUUAUACAGGAAUAAAGUUAGCCACGUGUGGUUAUUUGUAGGUACUGUAUGAAUAAGGACCGGCUAAUUCCGUGCCAGCCGCCGCGGUAA
rnacentral:rRNA from 1 species